rnacentral:rRNA from 1 species
GACGAACGCUGGCGGCGUGGAUUAGGCAUGCAAGUCGGACGGUAGAGCUUUAUCGUAAGAUAGAGUUUGAGAGUGGCGAACGGGUGAGUAACACGUAGGAAUCUACCCUUAAGACGGGGACAACCCAGGGAAACUUGGGCUAAUACCGGAUGAGAGUGCGAGAGAUUGCAUUUAAAAGGAUGGCGAAAGUUGUCGCUUAGGGAUGAGCCUGCGGUCUAUUAGUUAGUUGGUGAGGUAAGAGCUCACCAAGGCGAUGAUAGAUAGGCGGCCUUAACGGGUGGUCGCCCACACUGGGAUUGAGAUACGGCCCAGACUCCUACGGGAGGCAGCAGUCGAGAAUAGUCUACAAUGGCCGGAAGGCUGAUAGUGCGACGCCGCGUGAACGAGGGAGCCCUUCGGGUGUAAAGUUCUUUUCUAUACGAGCAGUGCUAUAUAUAAUGGAUAGUAUAUAUAGAGGGAUAGUAGUAUAGGAAUAAGACAACGGCUAACUCCGUCGCC